CUAUGAUCCUAUCACUUGUCUGGGCUAGUCACUACGCUCUGGUGAUAGGAUCAUAGCGUAGUGACUAGCCAGACAAGUGAUAGGAUCAUAGCGU
rnacentral:pre_miRNA from 1 species